rnacentral:misc_RNA from 1 species
AAAUGCGAUAAGUAGUGUGAAUUGCAGAAUUCAGUGAAUCAUCGAAUCUUUGAACGCACAUUGCGCCCUUUGGUAUUCCUUAGGGCAUGCCUGUUCGAGCGUCAUUUAAACCUUCAAGCCCUGCUUGGUGUUGGGUGCCUGUCCCGCCCCCGCGCGUGGACUCACCUCAAAUCCAUUGGCGGCCCCCGCAUGGCCACGAGCGCAGCAGAAACGCAAACUCGUGUGCCGGACCGGGCGACUCCCAGAAGCUACACUCACCAUUUUGACCUCGGAUCAGGUAGAGAUACCCGCUGAACUUAAGC